UACAGAGGGGGCAAGCGUUGUCCGGAGUUACUGGGCGUAAAGCGCACGCAGGCGGUCCUAUUAGUCUGGGGUGACAGUUCCCGGCUUAACCGGAAAAGGACUCUGGAAACUGUAGGACUUGAGGGCUUCAGAGGGAUGUGGAAUUCCAGGUGGAGUGGUGGAAAUGCGUAGAGAUACUGGAAGAACACCAAAAGGCGAAGGCAGCAUCCUGGGAAGUUCCUGACGCUCGGGUGCGAAAGCCAGGGGAGCGAACGGG
rnacentral:rRNA from 1 species